UGUUCAAGUGAGACCUAGUGUUGCUCUCUUUUCCUACUGCCUGCCAAUUUAGAUGCAGAACUCUCCCCAUCUCUCCAGCACCAUGUCUGCCUGCGUGACACCAUGCUACCGCAAUGAUGACAACAGACUAAGUCUCUGAAACUGAUCUACAAAAAGAAGCACCUUGAGAACAUGCAAAAUAGAUACACCAUUGUCAGAACUGUGCACUAGCAAAUCAGAAGAACCACACUGCACCACCACCCUCCCCGACCUCGACUUCUGCGACGGCAUUAUUCUCACAGGAUUUGAGUCUCUUUUGAACACUUGCUAAGAAAAAACUCAUUAUUUCCUAAAACAACUUGCCCUAUUUUUAGACAAUUCUAAUUGCUUUUCUGAACUAGAAUUUGUCAUUUUGAGAUUUACAGUCACUUUAGAAACAUACAUCUCCUCUCUCUUCCUCUCUUUCAUGUCCACUGUGUCGGUGCUGAUGUUGAUGGCUGUAAGCAGCCCGGCCAUUUGAAAAUGAGUGUACACUACCUAGAAAAUGAAAACAAGGUUAAAUUAGUGAACCAUCAUUUGCAUUGAUGAGACUAAAAGCACAAGCCACUGCACCUACCUUUCUUGAACUAAAUUAACAGAUGUUUGGUUUGAGCCUGUUUACUGCCUGAUCUUAUCUCCUCCUUUCAAUCAGCUACCAUACCCAGCUUUCUAAAUUUCUUUGUGAAAAUGGAAUAAGAAUUCCUUAACAAUGCUACACACAUGAAGGGCCAUUAUUAAGAAAAUGUGGGCAAGGGCUCCUUAACAAUGCUACACACAUGAAGGGCUAUCACUGUGGGUGAUUGCUCCUACAAACCAUAGGUCUUUAUUCUGAAAAUUCUGAUUUCUGCACUUAAAUGAAUCAAACACAUCUAGAAAUCCAAAGAGAUCCUUACAAUUAAUGUUUUUAAGAUGCCAAUAUAUUAAAGUAUAAGUGGAUCACUCUGGA